rnacentral:rRNA from 1 species
AUUGAACGCUGGCGGCAGGCCUAACACAUGCAAGUCGAGCGGAGCGGCGGACGGGUGAGUAAUGCCUAGGAAUCUGCCUGGUCGUGGGGGAUAACGUCCGGAAACGGGCGCUAAUGCCGCAUACUAUCAGAUUAGCCUAGGGCGGAUUGGCUAGAUGGUGGGGGAAAGGCCUACCAAGGCGACGAUCCGUAACUGGUCGGAGAGGAUGAUCAGUCACACUGGAACUGAGACACGGUCCAGACGCCUACGGGAGGCAGCAGUGGGGAAUAUUGGACAAGGGGCGAAAGCCUGAUCCAGCCAUGCCGCGUGUGUGAAGAAGGUCUUCGGAUGGUAAAGCACGUUAAGUUGGGAGGCGUUACCAACAGAGUAAGCACCGGCUAACUUCGUGCCAGCAGCCGCGGUAAUUC